GGAAGUGUUGAGCAAUUGGUUGGCUCGCUGGACUGUAAAUCCGGUCUCUUUGUAGCAUGUAGGUUCGAGCCCUACCACUUCCA
rnacentral:tRNA from 1 species